rnacentral:sRNA from 1 species
CCACUCUUCUUCAUCCACAUACAUGAUCAAUCCUCCAUUCAAUAUUAUUAUUCUAACAAUCAUCAAGAAUCUAUUUUACCCUAUUUUGUUUAUGAGAUUUACUGCAAAUUCUUCAAGGAAUUGACUAGAACUAUGUAUCAGAAGCUAUGAGCUAUGUCAGUAUCAAAGUCGGAGCCUGUGUCAGAUCUUAUGAGGUAAGGAGGAACAAUUAUUUUCUGCGUUUUUAAACUUAAAAAGCAGAAUAUUAUGGAAUAUUUUCAGAGAGGAUAGAGGUAGGAAGAACGACAAAGAUGAUGAUAGUUGAAGAAGUUAAGGGAUAAGAAAUAAUUUCAAUGAAGAAAUGAAAGUGGAAAAUUUCCGAAAUAGAGUUUGAUGGGAUAACAAGGCAAAUUUUGUAUAUAAUAUCU